GAACGAAGAAGCUAGCUCCUCUCUCUCCCUUCUCUUUCCCUCUUCCCUGUUUUCCAAUUUCUGAAUUUGAUUUCUUUUGCUAGAAAAUAAUAAAUAUUUCUUGGGAAAGUUUCGUGAGCUAACGAAGAUGAAGGUGAUGGAGGAUGAGAUGGAAUUCGAAGAAGAAAAGGAACUUAAGGGUUUGUACGAAGAAGUUGGUGAAGAUGGGGUCGAAGAUGGUGUAGAAGAAGGCCGUGAGGAAGAGGACGGUGAUGAGGAUGAUGAAGACGACGAAGACGAUGACGACGACGAUGAGGAAGAGGAUGAUGACGAUGACGAUGACGGUGACGUGCAGGAGGUCGUACCUUCGUCUGGUGGUCCUCCAGUUCAGUCAGUAGAUGACGAGGACGACGACGAAGAUGAAGACGACGACGACGACGACGGCGAUGACGAUGACGACGAUGGUGAUGACGAUGACGACGAUGACGAGGAAGACGAUGACGAGGAGGAGGAUGGUGAAGAGAAGGGGGAUCUGGGAACAGACUACCUUGUCAGGCCAGUUGGCCGUGCUGAGGAUGAGGAAGAUGCCAGUGAUUUUGAACCACAGGAGAAUGGCGAGGAGGAAGACGUUGAGGAGGAGGAUGAGGAUGAAGAUGAUGGUGACGCCAGUGGGAAGGUUGAUGUUCCGGCAAAGAGGAAAAGGCCGGAUAAAGAUGAUUCAGACGGUGAUGAUGAUGGUGGAGAGGAUGACGAGAGACCACCCAAGCGAUAGUUAGGGUAGGGCCUCUCCUUGGGUUGAGGACUGACCAUUGAAAUCAUAGAUGGGAAUGAUUAUCUAUCCAGGUGCAUACAGAUACGACGGGGGAUUGAUAGAGACGGACGAACAAACGAUAAGCCGUAUGAUUUAAAGUCGUAUUCUAUUUGGGGAAUAAUAAUGCGUUACCGACGAAAGAACAGCUCUCUUAAAAAUAUGGGGCCGGCCUGGUGGGGUCACCUUGUCCCAUUGCAUCCUUGGACGCUAAGCCCUCUCCAAACAGUCCAAACGAAGGUACGAGACGACAGAAACUCACUUGGGCUAAUGGGCUUGACCAAAUGUCAAGCCAUCAGCUUUGGGUAAACUAAUAAAGAUGAUACAAGAGAUACGUUCGGAUACUUCAGAGAAUUUUGAAACUUUUUAUAAUUGAUUUUUUAAUUUUUAAUAUUUUCAUCUACUUAUUAUUAAAAAAAAUACAAGUUUUACAAAUUUCAAAACAAAACAUAAAAAUAAUACAAAUUUUAUAAAUUUUAAAGUAAAAAAUUAUAUUUAAAUAAAAUUUUAACUUUAUAAUAUUUUCGUUCAUAUUUUAACCUAAUGAGAGCUCUCACUAAGCAGUAGGUGUACAUCACCUUUAAGAUCGUUUACUUGUUCGCUUGUGAGUUUGAUCCUAUUUUACUUUUUUUAUUUUAGUAGUAAAUUUUGUACCUCCAUGGUUGUAUUGGAAUGGCCACCAAUGCUCACACUGUUGUUAGAUACUACUGCUAGGAGACAACUGUUUUUAAGGAGGUGGUAGAACAAUGGCACAUGGAUGCGUGUGGCUAGCAACUAAUUUUCACAAGGAAAAUUCUAUGUGCAGUCAUUUUUACGGACUCCUUUAUGCACUCCAGUGAUAUGAUUGGUUGUGUAUUAAAAAAAAAUUAAUCCAGUCAAUCAUAUCAGUAGAGUGCGCAAAAAUGACUGUAUGUAACAUUACUCUUUUCACAAAGGAAGACCACCGAAGGUGGUGCUUUAUUGAGCUACUUUUAAGUGAUUUGACAUGUAUUGUUAUUGAAAAAAAGUCUAUUCAUCAUAUACUGCAUAUUACAUUUAUUUUUAUUUUUAUUUUUUUCUCUUAUUAAAUACUUGUUAUAUAAAUGUUAAGUAAAAAAAUUUAAUUAGUUUAAUAAGAGUAAAUCUUAAUUUUUUUUAAAAAAAUAAAAAUAAAUAUGAUGUACAGAGAUGAUGAAUAGCAAAAUUCAUCUUGUAGAUUUGAAUCUCAACGAUGAUUUACUUUAGAGUAAGGAUUACUUCUGAAA